rnacentral:rRNA from 1 species
AUUAUUGGGCGUAAAGAGCUCGUAGGCGGUUUGUCGCGUCUGUCGUGAAAGUCCGGGGCUUAACCCCGGAUCUGCGGUGGGUACGGGCAGACUAGAGUGCAGUAGGGGAGACUGGAAUUCCUGGUGUAGCGGUGGAAUGCGCAGAUAUCAGGAGGAACACCGAUGGCGAAGGCAGGUCUCUGGGCUGUAACUGACGCUGAGGAGCGAAAGCAUGGGGAGCGAACAGGAUUAGAUACCCUGGUAGUCCAUGCCGUAAACGUUGGGCACUAGGUGUGGGGACCAUUCCACGGUUUCCGCGCCGCAGCUAACGCAUUAAGUGCCCCGCCUGGGGAGUACGGCCGCAAGGCUAAAACUCAAAGGAAUUGACGGGGGCCCGCACAAGCGGCGGAGCAUGCGGAUUAAUUCGAUGCAACGCGAAGAACCUUACCAAGGCUUGACAUGUUUUCGAUCGCCGUGGAGACACGGUUUCCCCUUUGGGGCGGAUUCACAGGUGGUGCAUGGUUGUCGUCAGCUCGUGUCGUGAGAUGUUGGGUUAAGUCCCGCAACGAGCGCAACCCUCGUUCCAUGUUGCCAGCACGUUGUGGUGGGGACUCAUGGGAGACUGCCGGGGUCAACUCGGAGGAAGGUGAGGACGACGUCAAAUCAUCAUGCCCCUUAUGUCUUGGGCUUCACGCAUGCUACAAUGGCCGGUACAAUGGGUUGCGAUACUGUGAGGUGGAGCUAAUCCCAAAAAGCCGGUCUCAGUUCGGAUUGGGGUCUGCAACUCGACCCCAUGAAGUCGGAGUCGCUAGUAAUCGCAGAUCAGCAACGCUGCGGUGAAUACGUUCCCGGGCCUUGUACACACCGCCCGUCAAGUCACGAAAGUCGGUAACACCCGAAGCCGGUGGCCUAACCCUUGUGGGGGGAGCCGUCGAAGGUGGGACCAGCGAUUGGGACUAAGUCG